ensembl:lncRNA
AUUCAGGUGUGCAGCGGUGGAGCUUCCUGUCUUCCCCUCCCUGCUUGCUUCCGUGGUGGCUGUGGUUUGGCAUGACGGCGUUGGUGGACGCAGCCAUUCUCUGGUGUAUCCAGCCGUUGUGAUUGCCGUCAAGGUGUGCUGUCUGAAUACCGUGGCUGAGUGCUGGGGUGAAUUCCCCGGGGUGAAGCGGGGAUCUGCUGGAGUCCUGCUGGGCAGAUGAACACAGGCUCGCUCUGGGUGUGUGUGGGUGUGUGCGUGAGCCGUAUUCUUGUGGCUCACACCCUCCAGUUGCCAGUUAACAGCCCGGCAUAAUCGGACUGCUACCAUCGCUUCAAGCUGAGCUGCUGUUUUGGUUCUCUUUAAUAUUUGUUUGGUGAAUUGUUUAUGGUUUUUUUUUUAUUCUGUUGUUUGCGGCGGCUUGGAGCGGACUUCUCAGCCCAGUACGGCUGAGUGCCGUCUGCGUCCACUCGUGUAGAGGCUGGUUGUGUUGCUGUUGUGUCAGAACUUGUACAGCUGCAAGGGCUACUUCAGUUGAUGGUGUUUUGUUUCCUUUGUUAUUUGGAAAUUAAUUCAGGUAUUUCCUUUUGGUGUUUUGGUUUGCUUUGUUGCAUUAGUUUAAUUGUGGGUUUUUUUUGUUGUUUUCUUUGUGAGUUUAUUUAGCCUUAUGUAUUGAUUUAAUUCAUCAUUUAUUGUUCUUUGGUUUUGUUUUCUUUUGUCCACACCAGUUAUGGUUAGUUUGGGCACGUUUUAUUAAUCUUUGUCUUUGUCUUCUGUGUACAGGUGCUGUGGCUUACUGCGGCAGUUAUUUCCUGGUGGUGGUGGUCUUCUUCACGGUCCCCCCUUUCUUUUGGUUUUGUGUGUGUGUGUGUGUAUUAUUUGCAGUGUCACGGGUGAUUCAUUUAAGGAUUCCUCUCCCCUUUUUUGGUUGUCCUGCCGCAGGGUAAGCCCUAGCCUGGGUUUAUUUUAUUCCUUGUUGCUCAUUCUUUCUUUUAGUUAGUAUAUGUUAACUGGUGUGUGACAUUAUUUCCUUCCUUAUAAAUUGUUAAUAAACAUUGUUAAAUUGGAACACGUCUCGCCCCCCUGUGUUAAUGGACCCUGUUUGAGCCUUAAUUGGUUUAGUGACAGUGAAACACACCUGAGCUAGGAUUUCCUGGGUGCAGGUCCCAGGUGGCGUUGUCGGGACCAUAAUUGGUCUAAUUGGCUACAAACAUUCCUCGAAUCUCGCCACAUCAGCAUUGGCUACAGUGCUGAAGAGAAACCUGGGGUUCUUCUUGUUCUCCUCUAUUAAUGAUAAAUAGUAUCAGCAUACUAGCAUUACUGGCAUUACGAAGAGCUUUUUUUUUUUUAUAAAGCAUUAGACUAUUUUUUCAAGCUACGUAAACUUCCGCUAAACUAGUGAAAUGCCACUUCCUUACCAGCUUUUGCGAGGCCUGCUUUAAAGUCCGCAGAUGGGAAUUAUGGCAAGGAGCAGGUGGGAAAAAUUGUUACAUCUGCCCUUCAUUUUUUUCCAUAAAUGGUGUUGAAGCUUAUUCUCAACUGCUGUACAAUCCAUUGCUGUAAAAUGAAAUGUUAUUAAAAAAUGGUCAGACUUCUGUCUGAGGGUUCUGGGGAAAUACUGUUAACUGUUCAGUUUCUAUACCAGUCAGAACAAGCUCAAGGGUGUGGUUAAAACUGAGUCGGUUUAUUUACAUGUUGAGAAAAACCAGUUAAGUCUAAUAAUGAAUUAAAUGCAGUCUCAAGGUUGUCACUGUCAACGUUAACAUGAAUGUUAAACUCCCCCACAAUAAUGACUUCAUCUGAACUAAGCACUAAAUCAGGAAAAAAAAGUCUUUACAUGUACAUUAAACAACUUUAUUAUCCAGCGUUAUUGCUCACAAGGGACUUAAUAUGUUUGAUGACUGAAUAGAGGGACUUUUUUAAUAUUUUAAUAAUUCUAAAUAAAAACACCAGCAAUGAUAAUUUGUCUGUUAUAAAUGUUUUUUGAAAACCAUGUAACUUAAUGGAAAUAAAACCAUUCAAAGCACAUUUCAAAGCAGUUUAAUGAGGAUUAUUCAGUGAAGCAGAAGCAACAAAACUGGUUUUGUUGAAAUUUCUGCAGUUUCAAACAGACUCACACACACUAUCUAACUUAAUGAAGUGCCUUUAUUCAUCAGAUAGAUGACUUGUUACAAAGAGAAGCUAUCUUAAAUAGGGAGUAGUGAAACACAACCAGUCAUAUUCCCCACAAGUUAUAGGAAGGUAUGAAUCCUAAAACAACUUUCUACUGAAUGACAGCUUUGCAAUGACAACAAAAUUAAUUAUCUUUUGAAGAAUUAAUAUUAUAAUUUUGUUUUCAAUCAUUCUCUGUAUCUUUAUUUUCUCAUGUUUAUUCUGUCUGUGUUGUCAGAUCAUUCUCUCUGUAAAGAACAUUUGCUAAUGUUUGUUGUUUUUAAAUAUGCUCUAAAGUGACUUGAUGUGACAGAUUUAAUAAAUUUUACAUGUAUCUGAAGUCAGUCUU